rnacentral:misc_RNA from 1 species
GAAAUGCGAUAAGUAAUGUGAAUUGCAGAAUUCAGUGAAUCAUCGAAUCUUUGAACGCACCUUGCGCUCCUUGGUAUUCCUUGGAGCAUGCCUGUUUGAGUAUCAUGAAAUCUUCAAAGUAAAUCUUUUGUUAACCCAAUUGGUUUCUACUUUGGUAUUGGAGGUCUUUGCAGCUUCACACCUGCUCCUCUUUGUUCAUUAGCUGGAUCUCAGUGUUAUGCUUGGUUCCACUCGGCGUGAUAAGUUAUCUAUCGCUGAGGACACUGUAAAAGGUGGCCAAGGUAAAUGCAGAUGAACCGCUUCUAAUAGUCCAUUGACUUGGACAAUACUUUUAUGAUCUGAUCUCAGAUCAGGUAGGACUACCCGCUGAACUUAAGC